rnacentral:rRNA from 1 species
AAUGAACGCUGGCGGCAGGCCUAACACAUGCAAGUCGAGCGAAGUCUUCGGACUUAGCGGCGGACGGGUGAGUAACGCGUGGGAACAUGCCCUUUGGUGCGGAAUAUCCCCGGGAAACUGGGAGUAAUACCGCAUGUGCCCUUCGGGGGCAAGAUUUAUCGCCAAAGGAUUGGCCCGCGUUGGCUUAGGUAGUUGGUGGGGUAAUGGCCUACCAAGCCGACGAUCCAUAGCUGGUAUGAGAGGAUGAUCAGCCACACUGGGACUGAGACACGGCCCAGACUCCGACGGGAGGCAGCAGAGGGGAAUCUUAGACGAUGGGCGCAAGCCUGAUCUAGCCAUGCCGCGUGAUCGAUGAAGGCCUUAGGGUUGUAAAGAUCUUUCAGUGGGGAAGAUAAUGACGGUACCCACAGAAGAAGCCCCGGCUAACUCCGUG